CCGAGUGAGGGCCUCCGGGCCCGACCUCCAACCCUUUGUGAACACACCCGUUGCUUCGGGGGCGACCCUGCCGUUUUCGACGGCGAGCGCCCCCGGAGGUCCUCCAACACUGCAUCUUUGCGUCGGAGUUUUAAGGAAAUGAAACA
rnacentral:misc_RNA from 1 species